GGAUCUACAGAGGAAAGAAAUGUUCCACAUUGGUCAGAGAUGUUUGCUGUUGAUGGGUCUUUGUGGUUCUCCUGAAGGUUCUGAGUCUUCACUUCAUCUUUGCUUUGAUGUUCCUUCUCCUAGCAUGCUAACUGAGCACCCAGCUCAAGACACUUUCUGCUUCCAGCUGCUGAGAAACUCUUUCUGAAGCAGCUUUCUACCU